CCCAGUGUGGCAUAGUGUUUUGAGUGUUGGACUGCGACUUUGGAGACCAGGGUUCGAUUCCCAGCUCAGCCA